rnacentral:lncRNA from 1 species
GCCAAACGAGAGACAGAUCCCCAACUUAUAUGCAGCAUCCGUAUAACCCAAACUUGUGUGUGUAUUUGCCGACGUAUAUAUCUAACUACUGAAUACGAAGUACUACACAGGAGUGAAAGAUGGAAAAUAAUUGGAACCUGUUCAGUUAUAGAAGUAGGGAACGUAAUGAUACUUGCCAUGCUUGCUAGAUCUGGGAUCUUGCCAACAGCUUCCGCCACCUCCCCCACCGUGCAAGUGGAAGCACGUGCUUUUCACCCGCUUAUGAACCACCAAGAUAAUACUGCAAACGAUUCUUCAUUUUCCCAGUCCCAGAUAGACCUAUAUUUUGACUUGCUUGAAGCUGCGCAAGAGGCACCACCACUUCGAGAAUGUGGCAGCGGGAUAUUCAAUGACCAAGAAAGGCAAACCCAAUAGUACAUCUGGUGGUGGCGAUGGUUCUUCGGAGGCGGCGGCUCCCCCAACUUUGCUGAGGUGACAGGUGGAGGGAUGCCAAGUGGUGCUAGUGAAUGCCAAGGACUACCACAGAAGGCACAAGGUUUCCGAAAUGCACGCCAAAGCUCGAAAAGUAGUGGUUCAUGGCAUUGAACAAUGUUUCUCCCAACAGUGUAGCAGGUAAAAGUACUAAUCUCAAAUUCAGGCC